UGCAGUGGGUACGGGCAGACUAGAGUGCGGUAGGGGAGAUUGGAAUUCCUGGUGUAGCGGUGGAAUGCGCAGAUAUCAGGAGGAACACCGAUGGCGAAGGCAGAUCUCUGGGCCGUAACUGACGCUGAGGAGCGAAAGCGUGGGGAGCGAACAGGAUUAGAUACCCUGGUAGUCCACGCCGUAAACGUUGGGAACUAGAUGUAGGGACCAUUCCACGGUUUCUGUGUCGCAGCUAACGCAUUAAGUUCCCCGCCUGGGGAGUACGGCCGCAAGGCUAAAACUCAAAGGAAUUGACGGGGGCCCGCACAAGCGGCGGAGCAUGCGGAUUAAUUCGAUGCAACGCGAAGAACCUUACCAAGGCUUGACAUACACGAGAACGGGCCAGAAAUGGUCAACUCUUUGGACACUCGUGAACAGGUGGUGCAUGGUUGUCGUCAGCUCGUGUCGUGAGAUGUUGGGUUAAGUCCCGCAACGAGCGCAACCCUCGUUCUAUGUUGCCAGCACGUCAUGGUGGGAACUCAUAGGAGACUGCCGGGGUCAACUCGGAGGAAGGUGGGGAUGACGUCAAAUCAUCAUGCCCCUUAUGUCUUGGGCUUCACGCAUGCUACAAUGGCCGAUACAAAGGGCUGCAAUACCGUAAGGUGGAGCGAAUCCCAAAAAGUCGGUCUCAGUUCGGAUUGAGGUCUGCAACUCGACCUCAUGAAGUCGGAGUCGCUAGUAAUCGCAGAUCAGCAACGCUGCGGUGAAUACGUUCCCGGGCCUUGUACACACCGCCCGUCAAGUCAUGAAAGUCGGUAACACCCGAAGCCAGUGGCCCAACCGCAA
rnacentral:rRNA from 1 species